rnacentral:tRNA from 1 species
GUCAGGAUGGCCGAGCGGUCUAAGGCGCCAGACUCAAGCGUAUAGCUUGCCGGCAACACCGGUGAUAAGAUUUCUGGUCUUCGAUAGAAGGCGUGGGUUCAAAUCCCACUUCUGACA